ACACGCGGAUCCCAGGGGCAAUCGGGUCGGGUCAAAACGGGUCAGCCAAUACGGCGCCGUUUUGGCGCUGUGAGGUUGGUCUCCAAACGGCACCGUUUUGUGCCUGUAUAAAGACCCAUUGUUUUUUUGUUUCAAGAUCAUUCUGCUACUUCAAAAAAACAAAAAAAACAGAAAGGGCUCCCCCCUUUCUUCUCUGCUAGGGUUUCGAAACCAUAGCUUUUGCGCCGCCAUCGCCUUUCAUUCCUCCACCGUGGACGGUGGUUGUGACAGCAACAAACAGGCUUUUCAGCCAUUGAUUGAGCCACGUUUGAAGGCCAAACCUUCAAAGUCUGAAAAAUCGAGAUAGGAAGACACCUCCCCACCUUCCUCAGGUUCGAACUCGACGGCGGAGGGAGGAUCUCCGGCGAGGCAUUCACAGAAACCCGGGUUCAAAAGGUCAAUAGUGGCAAGUGGUGAGGUGACAAUGGCGGUAGCUGCAGGCUAGGGGCGGUGGGGUGGUUGGUGCUGAUGGCAGAGGAUAGGCUAGGGUUUCAGAUUGUCUGAAACCCUAUUUUGAUUAUUGGGUCUGGGGGGUUGGGCUUGAUUUAGGUUGGGUUUUAAUUUUGGGGUUAUUUGGGCCCGGGCAAAUUGAGGGUUUUACACUUACUAAGAUUCUGUAAGAUAGAAUUGUUAUUUGAAUUGGGUGAUGUGUUUUGCCUUACUCCUUUUUAAACAGCCUGUUAUGUUGUUUUGUUCUAACCUGUGUUACAAGAACAUCGAAUUGGGACAUCUAAUAAAUAGAAAAGCUUUUCAUGAUGGAA